rnacentral:lncRNA from 1 species
GGAAGGGGCAUCUCUAGUCCUGUCUCUUAUAGAAGAAAAGCAAAACCUCUUCCAGAGGGCCUCCAGAAGACAUCCACGCCUGGUUCUUUGGCCCACCUCAACCAAGAUGGUGACCGCGCCUGGGAGAACCUUCCUGUCAUCGUCACCGUCCACCUCCUCAUCAAACAGCAACUGACUCUCUUGAGGGAUGCUGUGGAGAGAAUACACUAUCUGAAACCUGAGGAGCUGGAAAUGAGUGUCCUCAAGUAGUCCUCCCCUCCCCACACAUAUAAACUUCAGACUUUACAUGCGAUAGAGCAAAUGGCUGGGAUUCUAGACUCUUCUAUUCUUUCCUGUGUGUAAGUCAGAUUCUCUCUGUGCUUCAGUUUACUUAUUACAACCAGAAGGAUAAUAGCCUUCAUAUUAAUAGGGUUGAUAUAGAGGUUGCUCUAUUUAAGUCAAAUAUUGCCUUUAUCUUAUCAUAGAUUUUAUUAUACUAAUUAAUAAAUUAUAUUACCUUAUUAAAAAUCUGGCUUCCAAAAUACAUCUAUGAAAAUGGCUCCAUCUAGACAAUGGAAUAUUACUUAUCACCAAAAAGAAAUGAACCAUCAAACCAUGAAAAACAUGGAGGAAACUUAAAUGCGCUGCUAAGUGAAAGAAACCAAUCUGGAAAGACCACACGCUGUACGAUUCCAACUACAUGACAUUCUGGAAAAGGCAAAACUAUGGAGAAAGUAAAAGUUCAGUGGCUGCCAGGGGUUAGCGGGGCGGGAGGAAUGAAUAUGGGGGGCACAGAGGAUUUUUAGGGCAGUGGAACUAUUGUGUGUGACAAUACGAUGGUGGACACACGCCAUUCUCCAUUUGUCAAAAUCCAUGGUAUGUUCCAACGCCAAGAGUGAACCCCAAUGUGAAGAUGGACUUUGGGUGAUAAUGACGUGUCAUGUAGGUUCAUCAAUGUCAGACAUCCCACUUUGCUGGGGGAUGUUGAUAGUGAGGGAGGCUGACAUGUGGGGUAGCAGGGGGUUCUGGGAAAUCUCUGUACAUUCCACUCAACUUUGCUGUGAACCUAAAACUGCUCUAAAAAAUAAAGUCUAUUAAUAUAUAUGUAUGGAAAUGGUUAAUAGAGAGGCCAGGUACAUUUAUUCUUAGAAGUCUAGCCCAUUUCAUCCCCAAGGUCUGCCAACAAAUUCGUCCUCCAUAUUUGACAUGGACGUCAUGUCAGGCGGACAGAGAACAGCACCAGUAUUCUUCCAGGAAAGACAUUUUCUCAGGCAACUUCACCUUCCUCUGCUCACAUCUCCUUCCAGGCCGCGCGGGGCUCUGACGCUCACCCUGUGCACACAGAACAUUGCCCGGUCAGCAGUAUACACCGUCCCUUAGACACAAGGAGUAUUAUUUAGUCUAGAAACUCUCAAAGGAAAUAUCCGCUUGCACGUGAAAAAUCUCUGGAAUUUCUCUGUUCCUCUCUGUCCGAGGUCCCCGUAUCUGUGAAACCGCCUUGGAAAAGCCUCUACACACAAGCAAUGCCUUGUUCCUGGCCAACUACCACAGGCCUGCUCCAGCACUCCUGUCCCUGAGGCUCCCAUCCCUCUGAGACUGGCUGUGCCCGGGAGAAAGAGGAGGAGGAGGAAGAGGAGGAGGACUCUCCGGAGAUCAGAAGUGAGAAGUUUUACACAACCGGGGAAAUGGAGGAAAAACCCGAGUCUUAAAGCCCCAGUCGUUGCCUAUCUGAGCCUCACCACUACUCACUCCAAAUUAAUGCAAGGAAGAUUUUGACCUUGAGGGUCGGGUUGAACCAGACUAGCACGGAAAAGGGAAGGUGGAAAAGAAUCUGAGGGAAAGAGGGUACCCUUCGGAAAACAAGGAAUAUUCAAGUACCAGGUGCGAAAGUUUUAAAUAGAAACCCGCUUACAUUGCACUUGGAGUAACAACAGCUGGCUGGAGGUCCUGGGGCUCCUCAGAAGACGAAGAAUUUUUCCGGGACAGUCUCAACAUCACGUGAAGCCAUUGUAGCAAAGGCUACAGCUCAGUGGCCCCCUGUCUAUGCAUCUCAAAUUGCGAGCUUAGGGAUUUAUUUUCUAACUUGUACACUAAACCUCUCACAUUCCACCCGCACACAAUGACUCUGUUUUUCAAAAUGCUGUCAUACAUGGGAAUUUUAUGACAUCAAACCCUUAAAAAUGUGGAAACUUUGGUUUCAAAAUACUUAAUAGGGGAAAAUAAUAAACCCCUUGAUUCACAGUUUCUUUGCUUGCUUACGGUUCGUUUCUGACACUGUGACUGGCGCGUGUUUGGGAGGCCGGGUUUCGGAGGCAUAAUCAAGUAUUCAUAUAUGCCUGGUCUUGGCACCGCAGAACGCUCCCUCUAAUCUGGAAAUAUUUUCCCUUCAGACAGGAAUAGAGAGGUUACAUUUGGGUCACUAGCAAUCUCACAAAAGGCUUUUCAAACGAGAUGAAAGAAAAGAAGUUCUGAUUUGUUGGGAGAAAUCGGAGAGCUUUCCAACUCGAGGGAUGUGGUGAGCGUCCAGGAGCGCGUCCAGGAGCGGCAUCUCUGGGGUGGGAAGCCGGGAGCACCCCCGACGGAUGGGCUGAGCGAGAAGGACAGGGUUACAGCCGGCGGAGGAGGCGAUGGAGCCCCUGCUUCCUCCAGGUGUCCCUUACGCAGACUUUCCAGGCAGGCUGUUGGCUGCAGGCGGCCGUCCCUCUUCCUGUGGCUUGGGCAUCAGCUUUCCAGCUCUCUCUGGAAAGCCUGUGUAAUGGCCGCCUGCCUGCAUGCGCUGCCUCGCCCACGACCCCAACAGUUAAACAGCUCUGUUCACAACCAGGGGAGGGUGACAACAUUUCAGAUGCAUUUCCUCCAGGCAGGACGAGUUGGCCCCAGCGGAGCGUACACCUGCGUUCCUCAAUCAUAGGAGGCUCUGUCUUUCCUCUCGCAUGACCCCGCUUUCCUACGUCUGUUGGGAAAGCAGAAUAUUUAGAAUCAAAGGGGCAGCCAGGGGAGGGAGAGAGGCGAAGUGCUGCCCAGCGCCUCAAAUGUCGCUGAGGAAUCAGGAGACACAGUUUCCUUCAGCUUAAAGAACUUACUUAGUUCCUUAAAGUCGAAUGAAUUCCUCAAGCACUGGAGAAACUUUUGCAAAAAUAUCCAGAGCCCAGACCAGUGCUUGGCGUGCAGCACACACUCCAUGAACGGCGUGGAGUGCGGACGCAGAGCACUGUUUCU